UGUCUUAUUUUUAGGGUUUCACCAGAGUAUUGGCAGGUUUGUCGGGAUUUGUAUUAUCGCCUAUAACUACAUCAGGCUCCUUAACGCACACGAAUGCAGUAUUGCUAGUUCAAAUUGAUGUUCAAGACUCGUUGCAGACAAUGCUGGAAGGUAGCUACAAAUCAGGUCUUUUAAAGAUUGGUCUAAGAACUGCUUUUGCUCACAUAAGUCACUUGGUGGAACAGUACUAUGAGUACAUUCAAGGAUAGCGGAAUAAUAAAACGCUUUCGUGUUUAAAUUGAUAGAAGUAACAAGUUUUAACUUAAUAGACCGCAAAAGCGUCGAUGAAUUUUGUAUAGAACGUUUUCGUAUAGAAACAUGAAGAAAAAAAGAAAUAAUGUAGUAAUAUAUGACACUUGAGUUUAUUUAAAAAUAAUAAAGUAAUUAAAGAUUCACAUAAGUGGUUGC